rnacentral:rRNA from 1 species
AGGAAUCUGCCUAUUAGUGGGGGACAACGUUUCGAAAGGAACGCUAAUACCGCAUACGUCCUACGGGAGAAAGCAGGGGACCUUCGGGCCUUGCGCUAAUAGAUGAGCCUAGGUCGGAUUAGCUAGUUGGUGGGGUAAAGGCUCACCAAGGCGACGAUCCGUAACUGGUCUGAGAGGAUGAUCAGUCACACUGGAACUGAGACACGGUCCAGACUCCUACGGGAGGCAGCAGUGGGGAAUAUUGGACAAUGGGCGAAAGCCUGAUCCAGCCAUGCCGCGUGUGUGAAGAAGGUCUUCGGAUUGUAAAGCACUUUAAGUUGGGAGGAAGGGCAGUAAAUUAAUACUUUGCUGUUUUGACGUUACCGACAGAAUAAGCACCGGCUAACUCUGUGCCAGCAGCCGCGGUAAUACAGAGGGUGCAAGCGUUAAUCGGAAUUACUGGGCGUAAAGCGCGCGUAGGUGGUUUGUUAAGUUGGAUGUGAUAGCCCCGGGCUCAACCUGGGAACUGCAUCCAAAACUGGCAAGCUAGAGUACGGUAGAGGGUGGUGGAAUUUCCUGU